UGUUAAUAAUUUAUAUAAAAUAUUUUGAUGAAUAUUUAUAUAAUAUUAACAUAAUUCAUAUUACUAUUUUUUUUUUUAGUAUAUGAAAUUUUACUUUGAGAAAAUUAGAGUGCUUAAAGCAGGCAUAUGCCUUGAAUACUCCAGCAUGGAAUAAUAUUAAAGAUUUUUAUCUUUUUUAUUGGUUCUAAGAUAAGAAUAAUGAUUAAUAGGGACAGUUGGGGGCAUUUGUAUUUAACAGUCAGAGGUGAAAUUCUUAGAUUUGUUAAAGACAAACUAAUGCGAAAGCAUUUGCCAAGGAUGUUUUCAUUAAUCAAGAACGAAAGUUAGGGGAUCGAAGACGAUCAGAUACCGUCGUAGUCUUAACCAUAAACUAUGCCAACUAGAGAUUGGAGGUUGUU
rnacentral:rRNA from 1 species